AUUGAACGCUGGCGGCAGGCCUAACACAUGCAAGUCGAACGAGUGGCGGACGGGUGAGUAAUGUAUGGGAAACUGCCCGAUGGAGGGGGAUAACUACUGGAAACGGUAGCUAAUACCGCAUACCAUCGGAUGUGCCCAGGAGGGAUUAGCUAGUAGGUGGGGUAACGCCUCACCUAGGCGACGAUACCUAGCUGGUCUGAGAGGAUGACCAGCCACACUGGAACUGCGACACGUGCCAGACUCCUACGUGAGGCAGCAGUGGGGAAUAUUGCACAAUGGGCGCAAGCCUGAUGCAGCCAUGCCGCUUGUAUGAAGAAGGCCUUCGGGUUUUAAAGUACUUUCAGCGAGGAGGCGUUUCUCGCAGAAGAAGCACCGGCUAACUCCGUGCCAGCAGCCGCGGUAAUAC
rnacentral:rRNA from 1 species